CUUACGAGUAGGGCUACACACGUGCUACAAUGGCGCAUACAGAGGGCRGCCAACUUGCGAAAGUGAGCGAAUCCCAAAAAGUGCGUCGUAGUCCGGAUUGGAGUCUGCAACUCGACUCCAUGAAGUCGGAAUCGCUAGUAAUCGUGGAUCAGAAUGCCACGGUGAAUACGUUCCCGGGCCUUGUACACACCGCCCGUCACACCAUGGGAGUGGGCUGCAAAAGAAGUAGGUAGUUUAACCUUCGGGGGGRCGCUUACCACUUUGUGGUUCAUGACUGGGGUGAAGUCGUAACAAGGUAGCGCUAGGGGAACCUGGCGCUGGAUCACCUCCUUAAACGAUGAU
rnacentral:rRNA from 1 species